GUGAGGAAUAUUGGACAAUGGGCGCAAGCCUGAUCCAGCCAUGCCGCGUGCAGGAAGACGCAUCUAUGGUGUGUAAACUGCUUUUGUACGGGAAGAAACACUCCCUCGUGAGGGAGCUUGACGGUACCGUAAGAAUAAGGAUCGGCUAACUCCGUGCCAGCAGCCGCGGUAAUACGGAGGAUCCAAGCGUUAGCCGGAAUCAUGGGGUUGAAAGGGUCCGUAGGCGGUUUAAUAAGUCAGUGGUGAAAGCCCAUCGCUCCACGAUGGAACGGCCAUUGAUACUGUUAGACUUGAAUUACAAGGAAGUAACUAGAAUAUGUAGUGUAGCGGUGAAAUGCUUAGAUAUUACAUGGAAUACCAAUUGCGAAGGCAGGUUACUACUUGUGGAUUGACGCUGAUGGACGAAAGCGUGGGGAGCGAACAGGAUUAGAAACCCGGGUAGUCC
rnacentral:rRNA from 1 species